GACGAACGCUGGCGGCGUGCCUAAUACAUGCAAGUCGAGCGAAGUUUUUCUGGUGCUUGCACUAAAAAAACUUAGCGGCGAACGGGUGAGUAACACGUAAAGAACCUGCCUCAUAGACUGGGACAACUAUUGGAAACGAUAGCUAAUACCGGAUAACAGUAUUUCUCGCAUGAGAGAUAUUUAAAAGUUGGUUAUGCUAACACUAUGAGAUGGCUUUGCGGUGCAUUAGCUAGUUGGUGGGGUAAAGGCCCACCAAGGCGACGAUGCAUAGCCGACCUGAGAGGGUGAUCGGCCACACUGGGACUGAGACACGGCCCAGACUCCUACGGGAGGCAGCAGUAGGGAAUCUUCCGCAAUGGGCGAAAGCCUGACGGAGCAACGCCGCGUGAGUGAAGAAGGAUUUCGGUUCGUAAAGCUCUGUUGUUAGGGAAGAAUGGAUAUGUAGUAACUAUACAUGUAAGAGACGGUACCUAACCAGAAAGCCACGGCUAACUACGUG
rnacentral:rRNA from 1 species